UACGGAGGGUGCAAGCGUUAUCCGGAUUUACUGGGUUUAAAGGGUGCGUAGGUGGGUAAGUAAGUCAGUGGUGAAAUCUUCGAGCUUAACUCGGAAACUGCCAUUGAUACUAUUUAUCUUGAAUACUUUGGAGGUAAGCGGAAUAUGUCAUGUAGCGGUGAAAUGCUUAGAUAUGACAUAGAACACCAAUUGCGAAGGCAGCUGGCUAGACCUGGAUUGACGCUGAGGCACGAAAGCGUGGGGAGCGAACAGG
rnacentral:rRNA from 1 species